UCGAGAAUCUUUCGCAAUGGGCGAAAGCCUGACGAAGCGACGCCGUGUGUAUGAUGAAGGCCCUCGGGUCGUAAAGUACUUUCGCCUGGGAACAAGAGAGGCGCGCGAAUAACGCGCCAAUUUGAGGGUACCAGGUAAAGAAGCACCGGCUAACUCCGUGCCAGCAGCUGCGGUAAUACGGAGGGUGCAAGCAUUAAUCGGAAUUAUUGGGCGUAAAGGGCGCGUAGGCGGGAAGGUCAGUCAGGUGUGAAAUCCCGGAGCUUAACUCCGGAACAGCACUUGAAACUGCCUUUCUAGAGGGUAGGCGGAGAAAACGGAAUUCCACAAGUAGCGGUGAAAUGCGUAGAUAUGUGGAGGAACACCUGUGGCGAAAGCGGUUUUCUAGCUUAUUCCUGACGCUGAGGCGCGAAAGCAAGGGGAGCAAACAGGAUUAGAUACCCGCGUAGUCC
rnacentral:rRNA from 1 species